AAGUCAUGUUGAGGGCAAUGUCGUAACAAUUUCUUGUAACGUUCCCAAACUUCAUAUAAUGACUCCCCCUCUGAUUUUUGAAAAUUCUAGAUGUUUCUUUAAGCUU